UUUUUUUUCUGCCUUCAGACUCAAACUAAACGUCAGCUUUUCCCGGCUCUCAAGCCUGCUGGUCCCUGAACUAAAACUCACAUUAUCAACUCUACUGGUUCUUAGGCCUUUGGAGUCAGACUGGAACUACAGCAUUGACUCUUCCGGAACUCCAGCUUACUGACUACAGAUCUUGGAACUUUUCAGCUUCCACAACCAUAAUGAAAGCCAAGCAUAUUCCAUCAUUUCCUAAAACCAAGAUAGAGCACAUAUGGGAACUUGUGAAAUAAGCUUCUUUGGACCUUUUAAGUUGCAUUAUCCCAUAAAAUGUGGUGGAUUCAAUGUUGUAUGGCCUGUAAAACUAAGUAAUGAAGGCUGAUAUGUACCCACCUGGCUCUGUCUUGGGAUCACACAACUUGGGAGCCAAAACAGGUAUAAUUGUGAUCUCUUCCCAGGAAAAAGGUAAUGAUCCUGGAACAAGAUAUAUAUGCCUGAAUUGCAAAUAACAUAUGGAGAUACUGUGCUCCCAGGAGGUGGAGAUGAAUUAUUAUCCUUUCUUCACACCUUCCCAUUGAGAUUGGGCUAGAUUUGCUGAUAUUUUUCAAAAAAAUAGUGCAGUGAAAAAAAAAAAGGUGCAUUGUUUUAGUACAAGAAACUUGGCACAUUCUACCUCAACCAAAUGAUGAAAGUUAACAUCACAGAUUCCAUGUGGACAUUACUACCUCCCUGGUAUGAUGUGAUGAGAAAGGCAUUUCCCUCUGUGGUAUUAUUUCAAAUGACUGAUAAUUCUGGUCUAAUCAGGAGAAAAACAACACAGAUCCAUUGGAGACUUUCAACAGGACACCUGCCCAGUAUGCCUCAAGACUUUCAAGGUCAUGAAAACCAGAAAGGAGAGAUAAACAAUCACAGAUUAAGACAUUGUGGAAAUUGAACAAUCAGAAGCAAUGAUGUAGCCUAGAUUAAAUCCUAAAUCUGUAAGAGGACAUUGAUGGAAAAACUGGUGACAUCCAAAGAAGUCUUGAAUUUAGUUACAGUAAUAUCCUAAAAGAAAAAAAA
rnacentral:lncRNA from 1 species